rnacentral:rRNA from 1 species
UACAGGGGGUGCAAACGUUGCUCGGAAUUAUUGGGCGUAAAGCGCACGUAGGCGGUUCGUUAUGUCGGAUGUGAAAGCCCUUGGCUCAACUGAGGAAGUGCAUCCGAAACUGGCGAGCUAGAGUAUGUAAGAGGGUCGCGGAAUUCCCGGUGUAGAGGUGAAAUUCGUAGAUAUCGGGAGGAACACCGGUGGCGAAGGCGGCGACCUGGGACAAUACUGACGCCGAGGUGCGAAAGCGUGGGGAGCAAACAGG